UACGUAGGUGGCAAGCGUUGUCCGGAAUUACUGGGCGUAAAGGGUGCGCAGGCGGACAUUUAAGUGAGAUGUGAAAUACCCGGGCUUAACCCGGGCAGUGCAUUUCAAACUGGGUGUCUGGAGUGCAGGAGAGGAGAACGGAAUUCCUAGUGUAGCGGUGAAAUGCGUAGAGAUUAGGAAGAACACCAGUGGCGAAGGCGGUUCUCUGGACUGUAACUGACGCUGAGGCACGAAAGCGUGGGUAG
rnacentral:rRNA from 1 species